rnacentral:rRNA from 1 species
CAGCCGCCACGGGAAUACAGAGGGUGCGAGCGUUAAUCGGAUUUACUGGGCGUAAAGCGUGCGUAGGCGGCUUCUUAAGUCGGAUGUGAAAUCCCUGAGCUUAACUUAGGAAUUGCAUUCGAUACUGGGAAGCUAGAGUAUGGGAGAGGAUGGUAGAAUUCCAGGUGUAGCGGUGAAAUGCGUAGAGAUCUGGAGGAAUACCGGUGGCGAAGGCGGCCCCCUGGACAAAGACUGACGCUCAGGUGCGAAAGCGUGGGGAGCAAACAGGAUUAGAUACCCCCGUAGUCCCUGUCUCUUAUAC